UGGCGGCAGGCUUAACACAUGCAAGUCGAGCGGUAGCAGAUCUAGCUUGCUAGAUGCUGACGAGCGGCGGACGGGUGAGUAACGCGUAGGAACCUGCCCAGUAGUGGGGGAUAGCCCGGGGAAACUCGGAUUAAUACCGCAUACGCUCUACGGAGGAAAGAGGGGGCUUCGGCUCUCGCUAUUGGAUGGGCCUGCGUGAGAUUAGCUAGUUGGUGGGGUAAUGGCUCACCAAGGCGACGAUCUCUAGCUGGUCUGAGAGGAUGAUCAGCCACACUGGGACUGAGACACGGCCCAGACUCCUACGGGAGGCAGCAGUGGGGAAUAUUGCACAAUGGGCGCAAGCCUGAUGCAGCCAUGCCGCGUGUGUGAAGAAGGCUUUCGGGUUGUAAAGCACUUUCAGUGGGGAGGAAGGCCUCGUAGUUAAUAGCUGCGAGGAUUGACGUUACCCACAGAAGAAGCACCGGCUAACUCCGUG
rnacentral:rRNA from 1 species